UACGAAGGGGGCGAGCGUUGUUCGGAAUUACUGGGCGUAAAGGGCGCGCAGGCGGCUCUGAAAGUCAGAUGUGAAAGCCCCGGGCUUAACCUGGGAAUUGCAUUUGAUACUCUGGACUUGAGUACGGGAGAGGAGGAGUGGAAUUCCCAGUGAGAGGUGAAAUUCGUAGAUAUUGGGAAGAACACCGGUGGCGAAGGCGGCUCUCUGGACCGUAACUGACGCUGAGGCGCGAAAGCGUGGGGAGCAAACAGG
rnacentral:rRNA from 1 species